rnacentral:rRNA from 1 species
CCUACGGGUGGCUGCAGUGAGGAAUAUUGGUCAAUGGGCGGAAGCCUGAACCAGCCAAGUAGCGUGCGGGAUGAAGGCCCUACGGGUCGUAAACCGCUUUUGUACGGGGAUAACACCCUCCACGUGUGGCUGUCUGCAGGUACCGUACGAAUAAGGGCCGGCUAAUUCCGUGCCAGCAGCCGCGGUAAUACGGAGGACCCGAGCGUUAUCCGGAUUUAUUGGGGUUAAGGGGAGCGUAGGCGGACGUUCAAGUCAGCGGUAAAAUCGCGGGGCUCAACCCCGGCCAGCAGGUGAAACUGGAGGGCUUGAGUUCACAACAGGCAGGCGGAAUGCGUGGUGUAGCGGUGAAAUGCAUAGAUAUCACGAAGAACCCCGAUGGCGAAGGCAGCCUGCCGGGGUGCGACUGACGCUGAGGCACGAAGGCGUGGGUAUCAAACAGGAUUAGAUACCCCUGUAGUC